rnacentral:lncRNA from 1 species
UUUGAGAAGAGCUGCCUCAAUGAAGCAUUCUUUAAGGAACAUCAGUGGGCUCCGGUUCCUUGGCUGUUUCUCUGAGAGCUGAUCUUCUGGAGAAGUGAACAGAUUUAUGGAAAGCAGCGUUGAGGCAUCAUGUGCUGGCGGGAGGAUUUCGACAAAGGCCAGAACCUUGAAAGACGACAGAUGACGAGGAGGCCCCUGCCCCUGGGUUCCGGCGGAUGCUCUUGUUGAGUUCAGGGCGUGAGGGGCACUUCCUAGGACACCCCCGUGGGGCUGCCCAGGUAGAGACACAGCAGGAAGGCAGCUGUCUCCAAGCCAGGAAGUGGGCUCUCACCAGCAACCAAAUCUGCCAGCACCUUGAUCUUGGGCUUCCAGCCUCCAGAACUAUCCCUGCCUCAUUCUGACUGUGAUUUGAGGCAUAGACACUGAAUACCACAGAGCCAAGCUGGAAUCUCGGCCGAGCCCUUUCUACAUGGGUGACCUUGAGCACAUUGAUUUACCUGGAUGUGUGGAGGAGAGCUCCUGAGCUUGUCUGGAUCCAACACUCUGCUCUGUCAGACCACACGGGAGGUUCCAUUUUCCAGUCUCCCUAGGCAAGGCCAUAGGACUCCUCUGAGCCCAA